rnacentral:tRNA from 1 species
GCAGUGGUAGUUCAGGGGUAGAAUUCUUGCCUUCCAUGAGGGAGACCUGGGUUCGAUUCCCAGCCAAUGCA